UACAGAGGGUGCAAGCGUUGUUCGGAAUUAUUGGGCGUAAAGGGCGCGUAGGCGGUGCGGUAAGUCUGCAGUGAAAUCUCUGGGCUCAACUCAGAGUCUGCUGUAGAAACUGCCGUGCUUGAGUGUGGGAGAGGUGAGUGGAAUUCCCAGUGUAGAGGUGAAAUUCGUAGAUAUCAGGAGGAACACCUGUGGCGAAAGCGGCGCACUGGACCACAACUGACGCUGAGGCGCGAAAGCUAGGGGAGCAAACAGG
rnacentral:rRNA from 1 species